AUCCAGUUGAUGAGUCCCAAAGUAGGACGAAACGCGCGUUCUUGAU
rfam:Schistosoma mansoni strain Puerto Rico chromosome 7, complete genome